rnacentral:rRNA from 1 species
GGCCAGACUCCUACGGGAGGCAGCAGUGGGGAAUAUUGGGCAAUGGGCGCAAGCCUGACCCAGCAAUGCCGCGUGAAGGAAGAAGGCCCUCGGGUUGUAAACUUCUUUUAUCAGGGACGAAGGAUGUGACGGUACCUGAUGAAUAAGCUCCGGCUAACUACGUGCCAGCAGCCGCGGUAAUACGUAGGGGACAAGCGUUAUCCGGAUUUACUGGGUGUAAAGGGGGCGCAGACGGCAGCGCAAGCCAGGAGUGAAAGCCCGGGGCCCAACCCCGGGACUGCUCUUGGAACUGCGCGGCUGGAGCGCAGGAGGGGCAGGCGGAAUUCCUGGUGUAGCGGUGAAAUGCGUAGAUAUACGGAGGAACACCAGUGGCGAAGGCGGAUUGCUGGACAGUAACUGACGCUGAGGCGCGAAAGCGUGGGGAGCAAACAGGAUUAGAUACCCUUGUAGG